UCCGCUAUCAUUUCUUCAUAAGCUUCAUCUAUCGCCGGUUGUGCUUCUGCAAUUCCAAAGUUUCUUCUUUCCGAGCGAAUCCAAUCUCUAAACAGUACUAAUUUUUCCAAGCUAUCCCUCAUAGACGCUCUAUGAUCACCUAUUUGCAGUCUUGCUUGACUGAAAACGCUCUGUGAUGCAACAGUUGAAGCUUGAAUUGGAGCAAUAACUUGAUUGAAAAGAUUAGCUUUUUUUUGUAUUUGCAACGGAUUUCUUCUUCUUCGCCUUUUGUAUCAUUGGAGCAGAACUACUACUAUUUGCUAAUUUUACCUCAUUCCUCUUCUUCUGCGUCAUCGCUUCUCCUUUGAUUGAAAAGACUCAGUCUUUAUCGAUGAAAAUACCGUAAAUGAAAUGCUUGCUAGGGUUUGUCUCUCUCUACAUUUUCGGAGCUUGGGGUCGUUCGGGGGUAUUUAGGAAUAUUUUGGCAAAAGUCACGUGUUAACCCUACUUUAGCUCUGACACGUUUGCUUUACACCGCUCAAACGAACAUCUCAUUUCCACCCGAUUUGCAGUCUCUAUGCUCUGUUUCUUCCUCAAAUUUCCAAUGCUGCUCACCUCCUCUUCCAAUUUCCCUCAUCUCUUUUAGUCUUCUCUCUUCCUGGACAGUUUAUUCGCCUUGAUUGUACAGUUAUAAGGGUUUGUACUUGGUGCCUAUGCGUGUAUUGUAUCCGCUAUCGCGUUUCUGUAAGCAAAUGCAAACUACUACUACCUAUGAAAUGGUGAAAGGAUUAGUAUCACAACUAGGACCAACAAGAAAACAAAAGAAAAGUUGACGCCCGAGUAGAAAAGAUAGGUGCAUUGCAAAAAUUAUCGAUGGUAAUGCCAUCCAUAGAUAUUCUACAUUCCGCCCUGAGGAAAGCAAAGAGGGUUUCCCUUACAAAGGGUUGGUGGUUUGAGAAAGAUAGCGUAUUUAUUUUGGAUGAGGAGGGGCGAGCUGAAAAGCAGCAGUGCGAUGUUGCUGCUUCAAAAAUUCCCCACAACUUCUCUUUUAUGCCAGAUAAUGAAGUCAUCAUGCACCAGCAUAAACAUUGCUUAGGAACUCUAUUCCAAUGUCAGCCAAAUUAUGUUACAGUGCUUGCAUCCUAGCAUCAUGAAGGAUAUUGAAAAGCAUGGCUACACUGCACCGACUUCUAUUCAGGCUCAAUCCAUGCCAGUUGCUCUUAGUGGAAGAGAUCUCUUGGGUUGUGUUGAAACUGCAUUGUUUGGCUCAACAACCUCUUCAACGUGGUGAUGGACUUUUGGCAUUAGUGUUGGCGCCUACGAGAGAGCUUCCACAACAAAUAGAGAGAGGUACAACUCAUGACUUACAAUCUUUUGGUUGUGAAUGCCAUCUUUGCUUUUGACGGAGUUUAGCUGGAGCUCAUUGAAUAUAGCUGAGAUUGCAUUCUAGCUAAAACUGUACGUCCGGUCCUAUUCGAUUAAACUGUAUAAUUGGGGUAAAAUAGUUGGUCGAUGGUUUCUCUCUUUUGUAUAUACUUCACAAUCGCUAGAAUUAAUUUUCUGAGAUGGCUUUACCUGGGAUUUCGGAGAUGUUUGCAUAGUUUCGGCUGGUUUCUGAAUUUAGUUAACUUUUCCUUUUUCCUACUGUGGUUGUGAUAACGAAAAUUGAAUUUAUUAUUUGCACAUACCUAGAUUUUCUGUUUUAGGGUUCCUUUUCCUGUGGCAAGUUCUGUUGGAUUAGUAUUGUUUCAACUAGGUAAAGAAGUUGGUCUAUUAUUUUUUUCCUUU